UACGUAGGGUGCAAGCGUUGUCCGGAAUUAUUGGGCGUAAAGAGCUCGUAGGCGGUCUGUCGCGUCGGCUGUGAAACCCGAGGCUCAACCUCGGGCCUGCAGUCGAUACGGGCAGACUAGAGUGUGGUAGGGGAGACUGGAAUUCCUGGUGUAGCGGUGAAAUGCGUAGAUAUCUGGAGGAACACCGGUGGCGAAGGCGGCAUCCUGGACCGGUAUUGACGCUGAGGAGCGAAAGCCAGGGGAGCCAAA
rnacentral:rRNA from 1 species